GAUGAAGAACGCAGCGAAAUGCGAUAAGUAAUGUGAAUUGCAGAAUUCAGUGAAUCAUCGAAUCUUUGAACGCACCUUGCGCCCUUUGGCCAUUCCGAAGGGCAUGCCUGUUUGAGUAUCAUGAACACCUCAACUCUUUAUGGUUUUCCAUGAUGAGCUUGGACUCUGGGGGUUUUGCUGGCUCACAGUCGGCUCCUCUAAAAUAAAUCAGCUUACCAGUGUUUGGUGGGUAUCAUGGGUGUGAUAACUAUCUACGCUUGUGGUUUUUCCACCAGGUAACCUUCAGCAGUGGAGGUUCGCUGGAGCUCAUAGACGUCUCUCCUCAGUGAGGACAGCUCUUUGAACGUUUGAUCUCAAAUCAGGUAGGACUACCCGCUGAACUUAAGCAUAUCAAUAAGCGGAGGA
rnacentral:misc_RNA from 1 species